UAGGGAAUCUUCCACAAUGGACGAAAGUCUGAUGGAGCAACGCCGCGUGAGCGAAGAAGGGUUUCGGCUCGUAAAACUCUGUUGUUAAAGAAGAACAUAUCUGAGAGUAACUGUUCAGGUAUUGACGGUAUUUAACCAGAAAGCCACGGCUAACUACGUGCCAG
rnacentral:rRNA from 1 species